AUUCCAGCUCCAAUAGCGAAUACUAAUUCUGCUGCAGUUAAAAAGCUCGUAGUUGAACUUCUGGUAGGACAGAUCCGGCCUUUGGAUGAAUGUCCAUUGUAUGCUGUGUGUCUUGUCUGGCCAUCCUUUAUGUCUUUUAGGCGUAAUCUUUCACUGUAAAAAAAUUAGGGUGUUUCAAGCAAAAGUUAUUUGGAAUAUAUUAGUAUGGGAUGAUAAGAUAGGCUCUUGAGUGCUACUUUGUUGGUUUAUACACUUAGAGAAUGAUUAACAGGGACAGUCAGGGGCACUCGUAUUCCGCCGAGAGAGGUGAAAUUCUCAGACCAGCGGAAGACGGACCACUGCGAAAGCAUUUGCCAGGGAUGUUUUCAUCA
rnacentral:rRNA from 1 species